ACGCCGAAGACUAUGAACCUGCGAAUGCUCUCCCUGGCCCCCGUCGCAACGGUGGGAGGGAUUGAGUAUUGAGACCUUUCGGAAGUGAAGCGCUGCUCUUUAGCUAGGAGAACGAGGGGGGGGGGUCCUUCUCCGAACAAUGCUGUUUAGUAUUAACCGGAGCUUGCUUCAGCCAAGCCCGGUUUGCUUUAUUUGUUCUUCUUGUCUGUGUACAUCUUGGUCCUGCGAUCUCUAAGCCCUACGAUCCAUGAAGUAUAUGUGUGUGUUGCUGAAGACGAUAAGUUAGUAAUGCACGCUCUUUUCCUUCCUUGCGAUUCCAGCCGGCCGGUGAUCGCGCGCGCGCGCUCGUGCCACCCGACGCUUUUGACCUACGAUUUAUGAUCGGAUAUAACAUUCUCAGCAUCAUACACAUUUUCGUUAUCCCUUCAUUAUCACUAUACUUGAGACGGGAGUGUAAUGUUACUCCCAAGUAUUUAACCUUAUCAGCCCAUUUGACUUCACUUCCUUGUAUUUUGUUCCUUGGGCAGUAAUUUCUUUGAUUUCCUAUGUAGAAACAUGAUUGUUAUUCGGCCGGCUCGCGAAGGACGACAGCCAGGCCGGACACCAAAUAACGGUGGGACACUGUCGGUAGCCGACUCUUAGUUGCCCCUCUCUCUCGGGGGCCUAUCGAGUGUGUCGGAUUUCCGCUCUGGAAUUGAUUUCGGAUUCGUAACUGGGCCCUAGUUCCACCUCUCGUUCGGGAGGCUAUAGGCUACAUCGAGGACAAAAUUCAGAGAGCGUUCUGUUUCAAUUCCCGAUUUAUUAAUCGUUCCGGCCCUCUUUUAGACUCGGGGCCGGACGAUAUCCUGUCUCCCCCCGGGACACACUUCCCAUAACGCAUUCGCGUACAAUGCGAACUAUAAUCCGAUCAUCAUCUCAUCACUAUAACCCGUUAUCACAUAAUUAUCACUCGCAUGGAGGUAGGCCACCGCGUAACAAUGAUAGCCUGCGAUUUAGAGGAGUUAAUGCAGAUCUUCCAGUCUGAUAAAUAGUUAACAUAUACAUUGAGGCCUAUCUGUAGUUUUUUAACUACGUCUGUAGCUCUGCCUGUGUAGUGAACUGCUGUGUCGUCUGCAUAUAACGAUAUUACUCCACCUUCAGGUAAUUCCGGUAUAUCUGAGGUGUAUAUAAUGUACAGCAGAGGCCCUAGUACGCUACCCUGGGGAACACCAGCAGGGAUGUUUGUUGGGGCCUCGAUCGUUCGUGCGCCAUUCCUUUUAUUCUCUUCCAGUGCCGUCAUUCGGCCCCACUACCUUACAAUGCACCCACACUCACCUUUUUAGAGAACGAAGAGGCAUUCAUCUGUUGGAAUUUUUGAGAAAUUCACCUUAGCGGUGCUCCUGAUUGUCUCCAUGGUUUUCCGGCCUAGCAACUACCGGCACUUGUCAUAUGCCCUCGUGGCUCUAAUUGAAACUUGUUUCAACGGUCUGCAAUUCAGACCUAAAUAUAGUUAAAUCUACUAACAUCCUAACAAUAUUCCUUUUCCCACUUUUGUACCUUUUUUUAUACGGGAAAGGAACUUAAUUCCUUCGUAGAAUUCAUAGAGAACGAGAAGCAAUUCCUAUUUCAGUAUUUUUUGUUCAGUAACAUGAAGCACUUCAUGCUUGAGUAAUACAAGUUGUUGUGAAUCAUCCAAGCCAAGCCAUACACGCUGCUCUAAUUGCUUUUCGUACAAGAGAGCUAAAAUUUAAGAGCACUUUGCUCAAAGAUUAUAAAAUGAAAUGACGUUUAAACCAAAACCGCGUGCAUUUAUUCAUCAUAAUUAAUGUGUUAACAAUAAUAGUCGCCUGGAUGUCCAAGACGUAGGAAUGCCAAUACAAACGAUUAGAUUUUAAAUAGCCUGAUACAAUAAUUUUAGCUCCUUCGUUUUUGUUAUAAAAAGACAGAAAAAGCCAUAGGUUCAAUACGUUCACGGCACUUAUUUGAAUUACGUACGUUAGAUGAGAAUGUUUCACAUUGAAACUUGAAGAACUCUUAUUACUAUCGACCGAAAACGGAACAUUGUUACACAUUUCUAGUUACACCAACAACUAGAAUCACAGAACAAAAAAUUGGAUUUGACCACACAAGGAAAGAUUGUCAUUGCAAUGCAGAUUCCUUCGCAUUAUUCAACGUUAAAGUAAAAGCAACCUCAAUCUCAACGAACGUCAUCACUGAGCUCGAGAUAAAAUUCCGAGGAAGCUUCAAUUCAUCGGGCAAUCACCCAGCAUCAACAGACAUGUGGAACAUGUCUCAUCUACAGACACCUUCAGAGAACGAGAACGCUUCAUCGCUCCCACGAAACGUCGAGUAGAAAAUGCCUAAUACCAACGAGAAGCUACAUGGAAUACGAUUCAACUAAACUCAAGAAUUAUCAAACACAAAGGGAGCCAACUCUUCGGUACAAUUUCAUCAUCUUCACGGAAACCUCACAAUUCACGAAAACCCCGGCAGAGUAUCAAUUCCAAGCAGCUUUUUCUAUGGGAGUUGGGUGUACGAAGAAAUAACAUAUUCCAUAAAUAAUGUUAGGAAACAGGAUCACUUUUAGUGAUUAGGAUAAUAGUGUAGGGAAUAGAAUGCAGCUUUGGUCACCUAAUAUCCUCGAACCAUAUCUCAGCUUGAUCACUUCAAUGAUCCGCCACAGCCUUGGUGAUAAGAAAACCAUGUUAUCUGCCAUCACUUCCAACAAAAUCAGAAAAGAGAGAAUGUCAUUGAAAAUGAAUACACCAGAAGACAGCACGCUAAAGCAACAUCAUCACCAGAAGCUCACAGACAACGUUACUGCAUUACUUAAUCAGCAUUGGACAAGAUGUAAUUCCUGUGGAGCGCAGUGUCAAUAGAUUUACGCCGCAUCCGUGUUAGACGCAUGGAAUACUCCAACAAACAACACUGACUACAAUGGAUCUUUGGCGUCGACAAGAAAAGAGUGCAGCAUUACAACGAUACAAUGCAUAAUUAUUCUAAAUCAUUCGCUUUGAAAUUCAUACCAGCUAAUGUGGAAGAAAAGAGGGAGAAACAGUCAGUUCCGGUAUGAUUGCUGUCUUGACCCGAUAAUCUUCAAAUUACAACAGUCAGUUCCGGUAUGAUUGCUGUCAUGGCGCGAUAAUCUAAAAACUACAACGAUACUACAAUGAUGAAUGAGAUGUCGCAAUACACCAUCUGAGCGACACUAUACAGCAAAUACAAUUGGAUGAUCGGAAGAAUUUACUUUGAAAUUCAUACCAGCUACUGUGUAAGAAAAGAGGGAGAAACAGUCAGUUCCGGUAUGAUUGCUGUCAUGGCGCGAUAAUCUACAAACUACAACGAUACUACAAUGAUGAAUGAGAUGUCGCAAUACACCAUUUGAGCGACACUAUACAGCAAACACAAUUGCAUUAGAACAACACUACACAACAUCAACUUGAAUGUGGAAGAGAGCUAGUGACAUGUUGGCUAUGCGGGUUUUCAUCGCAAAGGUAGGUGGUGGUGUCAUUGGAGGCGAUUAUUGCUAGCGAUAUGGUUUACGGGUACCAGGAAACCAAAAACUAGGGAAAAGUAGGAAAUGUACAAUGUUAAUAAAAAAGCAACAAUAGGUAGUAGGAUAAAUUCUCAAAAUAAUACAGGAUAAUGGGAUAUAAUGUAGGGUAAAGUGUAGGUAUAAAAAGGUAGCGCGAAAGGGGUGAAGUGAUUAGGACAAUGAAUGGAUUAAAGAAUGAAGAUAUUGUAAAUGUAACUAAAGAGGUUCUGUUCAAUGUUAGUAAAUAGUUUAUGAUGAACAGUGAAUGAAGUUACCAAAUCGAUUAUUUAUGUUAUUAUUUAAAUUAAAAUCAGAUCUUUAAAAGAAAUUAACCUGGAAAAUACCA